UACGGGGGGAGCAAGCGUUGUUCGGAUUUACUGGGCGUAAAGGGCGCGUAGGCGGCGCAACAAGUCACUUGUGAAAUCUCCGAGCUUAACUCGGAAAGGUCAACUGAUACUGCGGGGCUAGAGUGCAGAAGGGGCAAUCGGAAUUCUUGGUGUAGCGGUGAAAUGCGUAGAUAUCAAGAGGAACACCUGAGGUGAAGACGGGUUGCUGGGUUGCAACUGACGCUGAGAUGCGAAAGUGUGGGGAGCAAACGGG
rnacentral:rRNA from 1 species